UACCAGACUCCUACGGGAGGCAGCAGUGAGGAAUAUUGGUCAAUGGGCGAGAGCCUGAACCAGCCAAGUCGCGUGAGGGAAGACGGUCCUACGGAUUGUAAACCUCUUUUGUCAGGGAGCAAGGAGCGCCACGAGUGGUGCGGCGAGAGUACCUGAAGAAAAAGCAUCGGCUAACUACGUGCCAGCAGCCGCGGUAAUACGUAGGGGGCAAGCGUUAUCCGGAUUUACUGGGUGUAAAGGGAGCGUAGACGGCAGUGCAAGUCUGAAGUGAAAGCCCCGGGCUUAACCCGGGAAUUGCUUUGGAAACUGUACGGCUGGAGUGCUGGAGAGGUAAGCGGAAUUCCUAGUGUAGCGGUGAAAUGCGUAGAUAUUAGGAGGAACACCAGUGGCGAAGGCGGCUUACUGGGCAGUAACUGACGUUGAGGCUCGAAAGCGUGGGGAGCAAACAGGAUUAGAUACCCUGGUA
rnacentral:rRNA from 1 species